GGAAAUACCGGGCGGCCUGCGUCCGUCUGGUCUUGUUAGCACUGUCAUGUAUACAAUUCCUGCCAGCUUUUUGUGAAACUUGUAUCAUCAGCAAUGUCUCAGUUGACAAUUGCGAAAAUAAGUCCUGAUCAUCUAUUUUGAACCCAUUGGAAAUAUAAAUUAUAACUGAAAUCCAAUUGCAUUUGUUCUGAAGCUGUUAUUUCUCUCCAGAUAUUUUGUAUCUUCGAUAAAUAAAAUAAGUGUAAUGCUGGGACAUAGGUACUCUUUUCUUGAAAAUAAAAUUAAAAUAUUUGUAACUAGAUGGAGAAGGUAUUUAUUAGCAAAGAAAUGAUAACACUCCAUUAUACAAAUACAGUUUUUAUCACGUUGUCUUUUCGCGUCACAGGAAACGUUAUCAGGAUAUGAUGGUUUAGUUGUCAACUUGCUCAAUUUCAGACUAAACAUGCGGACUUGUUAUAACCACCCUCUAUGCUUGUCGCAGCCGACGACAAGCUACGACGUAGACUUUUCACGAAAAAGUAGAGAACACUUUUUUGCGAUUUAUCCAUCUUGUUUACAUACACUAAAUGAUCCUAUAGGAAAGACCACGCAUACUGCUUCGUAAAUGAUUGGACGAUAUUUUCAAAUCCUCACCUUUGUAUCUGCUGUGAACACAUGCAAUCAUAUAUUUAUUAAAAAAACUUUUUUUUUGCCAAAAUGAUGUGGAUGCUUGAGCAUCUGAGCAUACAUGCAAGCUACGCCACUGAUAUGCCAUAAUAAUUUGAACAAUUUCAUACUUAGGACUGCUAUAUGAAAUUGUGUUGCAAUCCUCCAAAUUUUAUUUAAUUAUUAACCGGUAAUGAACAGAGUUUUGUUAACAGAUAAUGUCUUCCGUUGUUUUUUGAAAUAGAAAUUAGUCCGAAAUAUUGGUAUGAUUAGUCCGAAUUUUCUUGAUUGCGAUUUGUUCUACGGCCGUGAGAACGGUUUUUACGAACAGUUUUAGAAACUAUAUCCAAAAUGUUAACGGAAUCGGUUCUAGAUAUAUUACCAAUUCCAUUGAUAUUAUCAUUAAGACGAGAGGGUAGACUGUUUGUAAUUUUUUAAUCCAAUUUAAUUCAAUUAUUUUCCGUGAUCGUACAAACUUUGAAUGAGAUUCACCAGGCUGCUUAUUUACUACUUCUAAAGGUUGAACUGCUAAAUAUUUAAAAGGAUGGUUGUGUUUCUUAAGGUGUUGGUAAAUGAUACUUUUGAAUUUAUUGGGUCUUUUAAAACGAUACAGAUGUUCUUGAGUGCGUUUAGGCAGCAACCAUUUGAUUUUCUGGGGGGGGCUAUGGUUUUUUUUGGAAAAAAAAGUUUGUUUCCAUUUUGGUGAAAAAAUAAUUUGUUUUGGACCCUGAGUAAAAAAAUUGUUUGUUUCACCCUCAGCUGCCACUAUAUGUAAUGCUAAAAUUGAAAGAAAAAAUUGUCUUCGGUUUGUCGCUAAAAAAUAGAUUGUUCUUCGCCGAAGGCGAAAAAAAAAAGUUUGCACAGAAAAAAAAACCAUAGCCCCCCCCAGAAAAUCAAAUGGUUGCUGCCUUAUAGAGAAUAUCAUAUGGCUUUUUCAAUAUCACAUCCGUAUCAACCCGAGACACCAAUAUAAUCCCAAGAGCUCUGCUCGAGGUUAUAUUGGUUGAGGUUGAUAUGGUGUGUGAUAUUGAAAAAGCCAUAUCAUAUACACUUUAUUAUAUACAUAUACUUGAAGUAGAUUUUUUUAUGUGACAUGACGUCAUAUAGAUAAGGAGGUUUGAAAUGACGUCAUACAGAUUAUAGGUUUGACAUGACGUCAUACAGAUAAGGGGUUUGAUAAAGCCUUUGCAACAGUGACUACAAUCGAUGACGUGACGUCAUACAGAUUAACGGUGUGAUAAAGCUUUUGCAACCGUGCUGAUAUCGAUAUCAUCACGGGUGGCUGAUACAGCACGCUUGCCAAUGAUUUAUUACACAUACAAUUUAUCUGUAUUUACUACUAAGUAUAUAAUAAAGAUAAAUAUCGUCCAGUUUCUCCUACGUACUGAAUACCAAUCCCGGUUGUUUCAUGUGAGUAAAUAAAUAAUACUGUUUGUUUUUCAAGUUAUAUCAGUUUCAAAUUCAAAGAAAAUGUGCGACCAUUAAACGUGACUUACGUAUUGUUGGUGGAAAGACAGACAUGUAAGUCAUUUUUUGGCAUGACACUUAUCGAUAGAAGGGUAACCACGAUUUCUAUUGUUAAAAAUGUUAUCGAUGGUAGUAUUUUUAGAUAACCGAUUUUGAAGAUUGAGACGUGUAGAUACCCUUUGGACAAGUUUAGUAUUUAAUAUUUUUCCAUUUCUAAGCUUCAUAAUUGUUUUUUGGUAGUGAUUAUAUAUAAAGAGCAAAGACUGGCGUCAGAAUAUGAACCAGCAUACAAUAAUUGAGUUAUGUAAAAUUGAUAAAUCUGUUCGGCUAAAAAUGUCAACGCUAUCAGUAUUAAUUACCCGAAAAGAUAGGUAUAUCAGGUAGGACUGAUGGCUGACUAAUAGUAGAAUGGGGCUGAAUAUGAAAUACUUUUUAGUAAAUAUCCUAAAGUAAUGAACUAGAGCAGUUCUCGCUCGGACACACACUCCAUAAUCUAGUAUAUUAUAAGAGCAUAAACCUGAAGCACGGGGAGGCACUCUACUGCCUAGUCCACACGCCUAAGACAAACUCUGUAAAAAAUAAAAUUGAGAAUGGAAAUGGGGAAUGUGCCAAAGAGACAACAACCCGACCAUAGAAAAAAAAAACAACAAAAAACACAACAGCAGAAGGUCACCAACAGGUCUUCAAUGUAGCGAGAAAUUCCCGCACCCGGAGGCGUCCUUGAGCUGGCCCCUAAACAAAUAUAUACUAGUUCAGUGAUAAUGAACGCCAUACUAAUUUCCAAAGUGUAUAGGGUAGAAAAAUCAAAACUUUGAAGAGAUUCAAAAUCACCAAUAUAAGCAUGCAAUUUAUCAAGUACUUCCAACGAGUUCUUGACACUCCAAAAGUAAUUAAUUCCACUAUUUUCGAAGGCCUUAAAAAACCCGUCUAAAUUGCAUUUAGUGGAUCAAUUCAACAACACUAACCGUUAUCUAGGUUUUUGUUUAUUUUCAUGAUCAUGAUUACUAACCCGGUUAAUAAUCUAAUUCGGUAGGUUACAUUUGUGAAAAGGGAAGGGGAUUAUAGUUACGACAUAAGGACAUAUCAUCUUUGAAACGGUUAUUCCAUAACGGUCAACCAACUCGUGAUGGCGUCCGUAAAAUUUACGAAGUGAUGAUUUCAACUGCACCAUUUGGAACUCUUAGGUUAAUUGCUUCCUUGUGAGCAGCAACCCUCUACCAAGGAAAUUAUGGUAGGAAAUACAAGCCCGGGAAAAUCGUAUCAAUUAGGAGAUAUGUACUCCGUAUGCAGGCGCUGCUGGAAUGUUGCUACAUAGAAAUGGAAAGUUCAAUAUUUGGAAGCUGAAAUCAUCUCUUUUAUUUCAACCUACCCUAAUUGUCCAUUUCUAGAUGUAAGUUAAUAUAUGAGGCAGACUUAACUGUAUCUGUUGUAUCCUUUAUCUUAAGUUCGAUGGGAUAGAUGCGUUCAACAUAGUCAGUGGCGUAGCCAGGGUUGAGACGAUGUGGAUGCGAAAUUGUCGGCGAGCGGAGCGAGGCGAAAAAAUUUUGGGACCAUAUUAUGCAGAAUUUUUUUUUUUUUUUUUUACAUUUUCCCAUUUAUGCAUGAGUAUUCCCCUAGAAACCGACACUAGUUAGAUUUUUGUUUAAUUUCAAAAUACCAACCAAUAUAUAUUCAUUUUCCAACAAAAUUUUAUUGUUUUCUCGAAAGUACCUUUAAUCAAUUCAAAAAUAUUUAAUGUUAAAGUUUCACACUUGACAUCACAAAAAUAUAACAAGUACAGCGGCACCUCUGUUCAUGGAACUUCGAAAUAUAGGAAUCGCAGUGAUCCUCUUUCUCGGAAUAUAAGCCUCACAAUGGUUUUUUUUAUUAAUUGUCUAAAGCGUUGCGUGGACAUGGAAAUACCGGCGCCUGCGUCCGUCUGGUCUUGUUAGCACUGUUAUGUAUACAAUUCCUGCCAGCUUUUUGUGAAACUUGUAUCAUCAGCAAUGUCUCAGUUGACAAUUGCGAAAAUAAGUCCUGAUCAUCUUUUUUGAACCCAUUGGAAAUAUAAAUUAUGACUGAAAUCCAAUUGCAUUUGUUCGAGCUGUUUUCUCUCCAGAUAUUUUGUAUCUUCGAUAAAUAAAAUAAGAGUAAUGCUGGGACAUAGGAACUCUUUUCUUAAAAAUAAAAUUAAAAUAUUUGUAACUAGAUGGAGAAGGUAUUUAUUAGCAAAGAAAUGAUAACACUCCAUUAUACAAAUACGGUUUUUAUCACGUUGUCUUUUGCAUCACAGAAAACGUGAUCAGGAUAUGAUGGUUUAGUUGUCAACUUGCUCAAUUUCAGACUAAACAUGCGGAUUUGUUAUAACCACCCUCAAUGCUUGUCGCAACCGACGACAAGCUACGACGUAGACUUUUCACGAAAAAGUAGAGAACACCUUUUUUGCGAUUUAUCCAUCUUGUUUACAUACACUAAAUGAUCCUAUAGGAAAGACCACUCAUACUGCUUCGUAAAUGAUUGGACGACAUUUUCAAAUCCUCACCUUUGUAUCUGCUGUGAACACAUGCAAUCAUAUAUUUAUUAAAAAAACUUUUUUUUGCCAAAAUGAUGUGGAUGCUUGAGCAUCUGAGCAUACAUGCAAGCUACGCC
rnacentral:lncRNA from 1 species